GACGAACGCUGGCGGCGUGCUUAACACAUGCAAGUCGAACGGUGAAGGGGAGCUUGCUCCCUGGAUCAGUGGCGAACGGGUGAGUAACACGUGGGCAACCUGCCCCUGACUUCGGGAUAACGCUUCGAAAGAGGUGCUAAUACCGGAUAUGAACCCUGAGGGCAUCCUCGGGGUUGGAAAGUUUUUCGGUCAGGGAUGGGCCCGCGGCCUUUCAGCUUGUUGGUGAGGUAGUGGCUCACCAAGGCGACGACGGGUAGCCGGCCUGAGAGGGCGACCAGCCACACUGGGACUGGGACACGGCCCAGACUCCUACGGGAGGCAGCAGUGGGGAAUAUUGCGCAAUGGGCGCACGCCUGACGCAGCAACGCCGCGUGAGGGAUGAAGGCCUUCGGGUUGUAAACCUCUUUCAGCAGGGAAGAAGCGAAAGUGACGGUACCUGCAGAAGAAGCACCGGCUAACUACGUGCCAGCAGCCGCCGUAA
rnacentral:rRNA from 1 species